UACGUAGGCAGCGAGCGUUGUUCGGAGUUACUGGGCGUAAAGGGUGUGUAGGCGGUUCUUUAAGUUUGGUGUGAAAUCUCCCGGCUCAACCGGGAGGGUGCGCCGAAUACUGAGGGACUAGAGUGCGGGAGAGGAAAGUGGAAUUCCUGGUGUAGCGGUGAAAUGCGUAGAUAUCAGGAGGAACACCUGUGGUGUAGACAGCUUACUGGACCACGACUGACGCUGAGGCACGAAAGCGUGGGUAGCAAACAGG
rnacentral:rRNA from 1 species